rnacentral:lncRNA from 1 species
CAACCACGUGUAUACAAAGUGCGUACGUACAUGGUGGGGAGAGGGGGGUCAACUGCGGACGCACCGUAUAUCAUCGUACCACUGUAGAGGUCAGUGAAUCGUACCCGGCACGGCCGGUGCGGCGCGCUCGCUCCAUCCAGAGCUAGCUUGCCGCGUGUUUUAAACUGAAUAACGAAUUGACUGCUUGAUGACGUGACUUCGAGAUUUCAAAUAAUCUGUUAGACUGCGACACCGAGGCAACUAUGUGAAAGCACAAAAAACAUCGCCAGGAAGGCAGAGGACACGUCAAACCUGGUACCGGAAGAUGAUGCUGUGUAGAAGCGAAAGAGACGUCUUCCCCAGAGAUUUAGCAAAUCUUCAAGUGAUUCCUGAAGUGACGCUGAUCUUGAAUAGGGUUCGAACCCAAGAAAACAACAUGUACGCGGAGGAACGACUAAGGCUGUGGCAGCGGAGAUACCAAUGCCGAAACUGAAUGCGAAGUCCAAGUCCACAUCGCAUUUUUCAGUUCCAACCCACAACUCCAGCAAGGGCUCGGGCUACGGAAAGCAAUUUUCAAGUGCAGGUACUGUGUACGCUGCAGAGGCUGGAGGAAGGGCAGCAGCAGCUGACGCAGUUGGUACAAAAACUGCUUUUGUCCAAACCAGGAGCGGCCGUUGAAUUUUGUGGAAGACUGAGGGAGCCGUUUACCAAACCAGUGAACACCAAAUUUUCAUUCAUGGUAGUUUAAGAUACCUUCAUUCAGGGGCAAUGCAAAAAUCCUAAAACUCAUAUUGAAACCAAAUUUGACCAUUUCAGCUAAUAAUGGAGAAACUUUAUCAGCGACAUAACAGUUUUGUUGGUGCAUCUUUUUGGAUUUAAUUGCCAACAUCUUGUUGAGAAUGCAAGACAAAGUUGUAUAGGUCUGUAAAUUUACUACUUUUUGUAAGGAUGCUGAAACCAAUGUGUGUGCUGCCAAACUCUCGACACUGUUUAUUUAUAACCUUGUCUUCUAUAUUCAUAGACCCUUAAAUUUGAGUAUUCAUAUUUGCCUGUUAAUAAUUCAUAUCAACUCAUUUCUAUCAGUUUAUUGUAAAUAGCUUUUUGUAGAUUGUUCAUGUGUUUUGUGUUGAUUUUAUAUUUGAAGUAAGAUGCAAGGUCCAAUGCAAGGCUUCUGGGAAAUCUUGACCUGCCCACUAAAUCUUUGGUCGAUCAAAAGGACAAUUUUUUACACGGAUUUAAAGGGGAAAUCUACCCUAGAAAUUUCACUGCUUCAAUCAAAGGAGACAAAUUUGAACAAAA